rnacentral:RNase_P_RNA from 1 species
UCAGAUGGCUGGAAGACCGCUGCUAUGUUUUUAUGAAUAUAGGAGAGGAAAGUCCGGGCACCACGGAAGAACGGUGCUGGUUAAUGGCCAGCGAAGGUGACUUCAGGGAAAGUGCCACAGAAAGUAAACCGCCAACUUAGGUUGGUAAGGGUGAAAGGGUGCGGUAAGAGCGCACCGCUUUUCUGGUGACAGAAAAGGCAUGGUAAACCCCACCGGGUGCAAAAUCGAAUAGGAACGACAGGUUUUCGAACCGCUCUUCUUUCGGAGUGUCGUUCGGGU